rnacentral:tRNA from 1 species
UCGGGCUGGGCCAGGUAGAGGGUGCGCCACCUCUGGAGAAGGUGGGUGGCGUACUCCCCCUUGGGCGCUUGGGGCACGGGUAGCCCCAGGCCCAAA